GUAGACUGUUUUGUAUUUUUUUUGUGCCCCACAUUUUUGUUUUGCAUUUAUUGAUAGAAGUUACAAUCUUCAACAACAGAGAACAACAGGGGCAAAUGCUGCACCCCUCUAUAUAGGAGUUGGUGGAAGGAAUGUUUUUGAUGCUGGUAGCUAACUGCUGGUUUAUAUCUAUUAUUAUGGUCGCUUCAUUGAUGACUAUUUGGUCAUACAUACAGGUGAGGUGAAUAUCCAAG